UCAUUAAAGCAUGUAAAAUGAAUCGUCUGGCGUUCACAUUUAGGCAGUUGAGGAUGACGGAGAUGGCACUCAAGCGACGAUGGGCAAUUGAAGCCUAUCAGGUUCCACGUUUGUUGCUCUGUUCUACCAUUCAUCCCUCUAAUUUUUGGGUAAAUCAAUUGAUGUCUUCCCUUUGUUUUCUCCUUCAUCCUGCUUGAGAUCAAUUAUGAAUUGAACUGGGAUCAACUUUGUUUUUAUCAGGGUUUUUCUAUUUGCUUAUUUCUAAGGUAGGGUUUAACCUUCAUCCAUUGAAUGUUGGGUUUUUUUGUUACGUUUGAUCACGACCUUUUUUUUUUUAAAUAAGAUGCUUGCUGAUUUGAAUGCCCAGUACAAGAUGCCCUGCACAGUUGCUGAUCUAUAUUUUGAUUCUCAAGGAAUAAGUGUGAAUGGGUGAUGGAAGUAAACUAUACAGUUUUAUUUCUUGAAUAGAUUGUGAAUCUCUUGUUCUUUUGUUACUUCUUUAUGUAUGAGUCAUCACAUAAAAAUGGCGUGUAAUGAGUUUAAUUCGAAGAAUUUUUGUUCUGUUAUCUGUCGGUGCCUUUGUCCCAUUUCUCCCUAAUUUCUCUUCUGCAUUCAACCAACUUUCCCUUUUAUCAUUGUUCCAUAUGCUUGUUUUUUUGAAGCUCUGAGGUUAUUCAGGUAAGAUUUUGUGGGUUUUGGUUUGUUUUCUUUUCUUUUUCACUCAUGGGUUUGCAAGAUUAUCAAGAACUUUUGAGCAAGCUCAUACAUUUGUUUGUUGGUGUAUAUUUUGAAAGUUUUGGCAUUCGGGUUGCUACUAAAGAUGGCGAUUAAGUGUUGCUGAAAUGUUCUUGUGUUGGGAAUAAGGUAGCGAUGAGCUCGGUACUACCGAAAAUCGUCAAAAUUGGUGGGGCAGAUAGAGGCAUGGGGCCUGGACGAUGAUGAGUAAGUGUGUCCCUCUUUUAGGAAGGAAAUAAAUUUAAAGUAAAUAUAUACCAACCCUUUUUAUUGUUGUUUGUAAGUUAUUCUGUACAUUUGAUUAAAAAUAUUUUGUAAAUUAUUAAAUCUUAACAAAGAUAACGUUUUGCAAAAAAAGAAAAAGAAAACAUAUUAUGAGUGGUUCUAGAUUAUUUAUGAAAAUGUAAAUGCAAAAAGAACCAUCAUACUUGCCAUAAUAUUAUCUGAACCAACCUAUCUUGGAACAAAUAAUGUGUGCGUGAGCGUGUGUGUGGGGCCAGGGCCCACCCUCCCCAGACCCUACCAAUAGAUCUACUAUGAGUGAGAUUUUACUAGGUACUUUUGUUUGUUUGUGUGUGUAUUGUAUUUAAAAUUGAAGUACGGUGGUACAAACAUGUCUAUCAUAGUUUAACUACUAAUUAAUAUACUAAACAUGUCAUUUUACUCUUGUCCCUCAAAGAUGUGGUCAACCCCAUGGUAUGUUGUACAUUGGCUUUGCUGACGCCAAGUGAUGUUUUUAAAUUUACAUUAACUAUUACAUCAAGUUGCAGUAUCCUGAGUCGGUGAGCAAACACGCGUAUACAUUUGAAUAGAGAAUGUGUAGAUUUCUUAAAUUUUUGACAUGUAUUUUCUUUUGCCAUCAGUUAACAGCUCCAAAAAGAGUCAUUUUACUUUUGGUAAUUAUGUUGCGUUAAAGUUUUAGAUUGAAGGUUUAUGCAUUUGCAGGUAAGAUCUCUCAUUUCAAUGUUGACCAAUAUAAAGAAUGCUGCUAUUCAACCAAGCAACAAAAAUCCGUCAAGAAAUUGUGACAUUUCAUCUAAGGCUUUUUUUGUGUUUUAUUUAGUGGUGGCAAAUGGCAGAUUGCAUAACGGACUAACGGGUCAGAAUGGAUCAAUACCAGUUGUGGUGGCAAAUGGGCAGACUGGGUAACGGACUAACAGGUCAGAAUGGAUCCAUACCAGCUGGUUUUAAUACUUUUGCGAGAUGGUAAAUGGAAUGACGAAGAUAUUAUUCCAGCUAAUGCUUGUUUGCUUGAUGGCGAACCCUUAAAGAUUGUCGAGUCGGCUCUAACUGGUGAGUCUAUUCCGGUCACAAAAGAUUCCAGGGACGGUGUGUAUUCUAGUUCGACUUGCAAAAGGGAUCCAUCUCUUGGCCCACACAGUUUUUGGAAUCUUUUGGUAUAGCUACCAUCAGUCACCACAGUUUGCUUUUCUCGAGAACCGCUCUUGUGCAACCUGUAGAAGUGGAAGAAUUAACAAGUGGGCUCUAUGGUUAGUCAACCUCGAUGGCUCUACGUGUAUCGGAAAUAUCUCUUUGGUAACUUUGGCAGACAACCGAGCCCGGAUUCGGUGCUCGAACCAUCUUUUAACACCGAAAGCUGUAACUCUGCAGACACUGCCGAUACCUGCAAGCAAGAUUCAGCUUCGGUUCUAGCCCAAGAGCUAACCUCUCCAAAAUUUUCAACAACCCCGAGCCUGAUGGAUGUCGAUACCGAUCUACUAGACUCGGCUUCUUCGAUCACAAUGGUUACCAAAUGGGAACCUGAGUACCUAACCGAAGUGCUGGCAAAUAUCGAAACAAUGUUUGUCGACUUCACCAUAGGGAAGCCUCGAAAGAUCGUGAACCCACGUGUGUUUGACCGGUUAGAGUUCGGUAGACCCAACGAAGAACCGGCUAAGUUAAGAUGUGAGCUUGUGUUCAAUUGCAUGAGUGACUGUAUGGAGACGCGGUGCGGUUACCUCAAGAAGUGUACCGAGAGAUUGCAUGGUUGGAAGAUAUGAAAGAUAGUAUGGUUGAUGAACUCGUUGAUAAGGAUAUGAGCGGUUGUAGUUACAAAAAUAUACAACUUCUAUAUGAUUUUUUUCAUCAUUUUAAGGUUUAAGGUUUGAGUUA